CAGAGUUCGUGCCCUCACGGGUAGAUCUCCCACCCUGUGUUAUUAUACCUUUGUUGCUUUGGCGGGCCGCCCUCGGCUACCGGCCCCGGCUGGUACGCGCCCGCCGGAGGACCCAAACUCUUGCUUUAAACAGUGGCAUACUCUCUGAGUCUCACAAACAAAAAAUGAAUCA
rnacentral:misc_RNA from 1 species